GCUCGCUUGCUUCCGGUUCCAGUUCGCCAGUUCCUAGAUUAAUCUGGAAGCGUUUUGUGCUCUUCGGGUGCGUUUCUGACGCCGAGAAACUUCCAAACUUUCCACUCAACUAAUAAAAGGAUAAGGUGUUCGUUCUGUAAUCCGUUAAAAUCACCUCAACUCUCAUACCUUGGAUCAGCAAAUAUCCCACCUUUGAGGAUGCAAGAAGAUAUUUUUGAAGUGUCUUCUCUUUAUCACCACCCAAUGCUGAGGCCGUGAAAAACGUCCCCUAACCAACCCAAUCUCUGACACACUAAUGUAUUGCAAGUUUGGUG